CCUGCAAGUUAAUAUAGGCUAAGAGUGUUAGAUAUUAGAUGCUAUGUUAGCUCAUAAAUCCUUCAAACCCUCUCAUUUGGUGCAAGGGAACCAACAAUUGUUGUCACACUCAUCAUCUGCUUGUCAUAAAUAUUUUUUCUCUUCCUUUGUCCCUCCUUUUCUUCUUUCAUUUUGUUUUGCCCCUUCAGCUAUCUCGUAUUCUUUCCCUCUAAAUUUUCCAAUUGAGAAUCUUGUCUUGCUAUCUAAUUGCUUCUUUUCCAACUGUCAUUUCUUUUGCUUCCCUCUAUUCUCUGUUGUUUCCUCUCUGUUCACGCACCUACCUUUUUUCCUCUUUCCUUUCCAACACAGUUCUUCUUCUCUUCUUCCAGAAAUUCUUGUUUAGCAACGAUGCGGUUUUUCUGCUCCCCAAGAAUCUUCAUUAUCUGUUGGUCAUUUGCUUACACUAACAAAACAAUUUGUUUUAGAAGAGCUUAUACUUUUGCUCCUUGGUCCAGUUGGUUAGACUCAUUAGCCUUGGAAGGUAGCUCAAUUAGUUUCCUCAACAGCACAUGCGAACUUAACAUACAAGGAACUAACUCUAGACCCUUCAACAAUUCUUCCAGCAAUAAGCAAAAGCAAUCCAUAAUUGACUGCCUAAAAUUAUGGCAAGGUACCUCACAUUGAAGCUAAACAUAGCAUUGCUUUGAGUAAGUAAAGAACCCGGAGAUCCAAACGGGCAUGUCAACCCUCACACUACUUCAGCUGCAUAGCACUGAUAUCAAUUUUUUAUAAUUCAAAUAGAAUCAAUUUUUUAUACUAUUAUUCGUCCAUCAAGUUGCAAGAAUCCACAAGUUUUCCAGUGGAAUAUCAUCUAAAGCAAAAGUUGAAUGCAAUAAACACAAUAAGCAUACCAUAAGCAUACUUUUAGAUCCACACUUCGGUCCAAUUUCGCUAACAAAAUCGCAACCCAAAUCAAGCCAGAUUAAACUAAUGUAUCGGCAUUACAAUUACCUUCCCCUGAGCCUUCUAACUCAAACCUCCCACCAGAAUAUUCAAACCAAAAAUAAAAGUGGGAAAUUCCUCCACAUCCAAACGAAAACAUGCUACAGAGAACAUCAAAUCAGAGCAAAGAAUCAUGCAUACCACAUAAUCUUCAACCAAAAAACAAAGAAAGAGAUUCAAAUCAUUCAAGCCAGAGAACCAAAAAGAAGCAAAUUUCAAUAGAUGGGUAGGAAAAGCUUACGGCCACGGGUCGGCGGACCAGGCGUGCGAGAUUCGAAGCCAUUCUCAGCGAUCCUCUCCACCGAUGCUUGGAAGCAAGGAGAAACCUUUUUUUUUGGGUCUUAGAUUUAUAGGGAGAGCUUUGAGACGAGGGUUUUGGUUUUACGGUGUCGUCCCGGCGCUUCUUUCUUUCUUUGCUUUUUUUUUUUACCUCUCCUCUACUUUUUUUCCUCUCCUUCGCCACGCGUCCAUUCCUCUCCCAAAAUCCGGACCAGCAGUGCACGUGGUCUCCACGUGAUUUCUAGGGCUCUUCUCAUGUGGGUGUAACCUACUCCCAGGUCGUAACAAUUUGUCUCAUG
rnacentral:lncRNA from 1 species